CCUACGGGAGGCUGCAGUGGGGAAUAUUGCACAAUGGGCGCAAGCCUGAUGCAGCCAUGCCGCGUGUGUGAAGAAGGCCUUCGGGUUGUAAAGCACUUUCAGCGGGGAGGAAGGCGGUGAGGUUAAUAACCUCAUCGAUUGACGUUACCCGCAGAAGAAGCACCGGCUAACUCCGUGCCAGCAGCCGCGGUAAUACGGAGGGUGCAAGCGUUAAUCGGAAUUACCGGGCGUAAAGCGCACGCAGGCGGUCUGUCAAGUCGGAUGUGAAAUCCCCGGGCUCAACCUGGGAACUGCAUUCGAAACUGGCAGGCUAGAGUCUUGUAGAGGGGGGUAGAAUUCCAGGUGUAGCGGUGAAAUGCGUAGAGAUCUGGAGGAAUACCGGUGGCGAAGGCGGCCCCCUGGACAAAGACUGACGCUCAGGUGCGAAAGCGUGGGGAGCAAACAGGAUUAGAUACCCUUGUAGUC
rnacentral:rRNA from 1 species